rnacentral:rRNA from 1 species
UGGGGAAUCUUGGACAAUGGGCGCAAGCCUGAUCCAGCCAUGCCGCGUGGAUGAUGAAGGCCUUAGGGUUGUAAAAUCCUUUCGUUGGGGACGAUAAUGACGGUACCCAAAGAAGAAGCUCCGGCUAACUUCGUGCCAGCAGCCGCGGUAAUACGAAGGGGGCUAGCGUUGUUCGGAUUUACUGGGCGUAAAGCGCGUGUAGGCGGAUUUGUAAGUUGGGGGUGAAAUCCCGAGGCUCAACCUCGGAACUGCCUCCAAAACUACAAGUCUGGACCUAAGUAGAGGCAAGUGGAAUUGCGAGUGUAGAGGUGAAAUUCGUAGAUAUUCGCAGGAACACCAGUGGCGAAGGCGACUUGCUGGACUUAUGGUGACGCUGAGACGCGAAAGCGUGGGAGCAAACAGGAUUAGAUACCCGUGUAGUCCCUGAGCGGGCUGGCAAGGCGCAU